rnacentral:miRNA from 1 species
CGGGCGUGGUGGUGAGCU